rnacentral:rRNA from 1 species
GUAUGCUUUGGAAACUGUUAGACUNGAGUGCAGAAGGGGAGAGUGGAAUUCCAUGUGUAGCGGUGAAAUGNGUAGAUAUAUGGAGGAACACCGGUGGCGAAAGCGGCUNUCUGGUCUGUCACUGACGCUGAGGCUCGAAAGCGUGGGUAGCGAACAGGAUUAGAUACCCUGGUAGUNCACGCCGUAAACGCUGAGUGCUAGGUGUUAGGUCCUUUCCGGGACUUAGUGCCGACGCUAACGCAUUAAGCACUCCGCCUGGGGAGUACGACCGCAAGGUUGAAACUCAAAGGAAUUGACGGGGGCCCGCACAAGCGGUGGAGCAUGUGGCUUAAUUCGAAGCAACGCGAAGAACCUUACCAGGUCUUGACAUCCCGAUGCCCGCUCUAGAGAUAGAGUUUUACUUUUUGUACAUCGGAGACAGGUGGUGCAUGGUUGUCGUCAGCUCGUGUCGUGAGAUGUUGGGUUAANNNNNNNNACGAGCGCAACCCUUAUUGUUAGUUGCCAUCAUUAAGUUGGGCACUCUAGCGAGACUGCCGGUAAUAAACCGGAGGAAGGUGGGGAUGACGUCAAAUCAUCAUGCCCCUUAUGACCUGGGCUACACACGUGCUACAAUGGUUGGUACAACGAGUCGCAAGCCGGUGACGGCAAGCUAAUCUCUGAAAGCCAAUCUCAGUUCGGAUUGUAGGCUGCAACUCGCCUACAUGAAGUCGGAAUCGCUAGUAAUCGCGGAUCAGCACGCCGCGGUGAAUACGUUCCCGGGCCUUGUNC